rnacentral:lncRNA from 1 species
UGAAAUGUAUUUUCCCAUUAUGCCUCCUUUUCUCUAGUUAUGUUAUUGGGGACAAGUCCAUAUUAGAAGAUGCUGGGGUUCACAACAUGAAGGACAUUGAAGCUUUGGCUGCACCUCCAGAGGUUAAAGAUAAUACUCCGGCGCAGAAAUACAAGGGGGAUGUUAGUUACUUCAUCUGCACGAGGCCUGGGAAAGGUCCAGUAUUGCUUAAUGAUGAAACUAAAGCGCUUCUAAAUGCUGAAACUGGACUGCCAAAUUAAAGAAGUUGGAGUUUUGUGGUACGAUUAUUUUCGUAAGGCCAGUGUGCUGGAACUGUUGCAUUUACAUUAUCUUUGUCUAGAACGUAAUGCUGGACAUGAUUCUGUACUCUUAUACAAUUUGUAAUUUGAAUCGUAUUCCCUUGCUAAGAGCAUUUUGGGAUUAACAAUUUCUUGUUUGUAAACAUGUUUAAGGGAUUUAUUUUUUUCUUUGAAAUAAAAAACUUACUAUUUUAGCGAAAACUGCUAAGAUAGGUAGCCAUAUCCUUCAUUUAAAAAUGGAGUUAGAAUGUAACAGAUGGAUAAUUAAUUGUAUUCUACAUUACCCCGUCAGCAUUUAGCAAUAAUAAAUUGAGCUCAAGAAGAAGAUUGUAAAUGUGAAAACCAAAAAAAGAAUGGAAGGGACAAUUACCAAAGAGUUCAAAACAACAACUAUCAUAUAAACAAUUUGAAUUCUAAAAUGCCCAAUCCCUGAAAAAUGUGGUGAAGCAUGAAAGUAAUUCACAUACUUUUGUGAAUUGAAAGUACUUCGAGAGUCAAAGUUGAAAUAAUCCUAGUGUCCUACUAGAUGCCAGCAGCAUUGCCCUUCACUGCUUGAGGAUUGAAAGGGAAACAAAGUGUUGAGACUAUUUUCCUUCCUCACACCCCACCUCUUUCUCUCUAAAAUAAAGUUGGUUAACACUAGCACAUAUUUGGCAAGAAAGGCUAAUUUAUGAUCAAGUAACAUGCAAGGUUAAAAUGUGAGAAAUUUGUCUUGAUUGAUUGGUGUCCGAUAUUGCUGAAAGGAUACAGGGAAUGUCAAAGAAUACACAUACAUUGUACACUCAAUGUCUGAAAGGCCUCAAUCCAAUAUCUAGGCACUUUACCUCUUAGAGGCGAGAUGUAAGCCUCAAGGUGUUCCCAGGCGUAAGCCUUGACACAAACCAAUAGAUAAUUUAAAAAGACAUUGCUGUUCAACUUGCAGAUGAGAAGCACUGGGGCGAUCUUGUGAUUAUUAUUGCUGUUGUAUGGUCCCCCUCUCUAUUGCAAUUAAUCUUAUCAUCUUUAAGCACACCAUUCUGCUAGCGGUAAAAGAUCAUAAAUUAUAGAUAGUCUUUUAUGUUUCUAGUUUUUUUUUUCCUCUCAAAACACUAAUUUUGGGAAACUUCAUGUAGCAAUCAAUUUGGCUUCUUUUCUUUUAUCUACUUCACCGGUUGUGAAUUCCAUUAUAAUGACUUUACUAUAUUUGUCCUCAUUCUGUUCUAGUCCAAACAAUAUUGCCUUCUUUGGCAUUGUGGAACAUUGAGUAACUACUACAUACGAAAAACUAUCAGUCAAUUUUGUUGUUUGGGCUGCAGUUCUAUUUUUAUGACAAAAAGGGUGCAAGUAUAGGAAAAAUAUUAAAGCAGACAACUUUACUACAGAAUUUCAUUUUUUUAAAUUUUUUUUGGGUUAAGUUUUGGUUUAGUAAUUGCUCAUUUACCAGUAGUAUGUGUUGAUGACUAAACCAAUGACUUGAUACAAAAAUUGGUUUAUAAAUGUUCUCAUAAUAUUUUUUGGUAAAUCAUAAUUUUGUUGAUAUUUUGCCAAAAAGUGGUGAGGGCCAACUCCGAUGUUUUUUUCCAAUAUCAGCACUUCCACUCUUUCUUCCAUCGUAGCAUAGUUUACUAAGCUCUCCAACCUCGUAACUUCUAGUUCAUACCUUCAAUUGUAGCCUCCUCCUUCAUGUUGUUCUCAUCGUCAGUCUCCACUCUUUCUUCCAUCUUCUUUGAGUGCCUAGCAGUUAUGCAGUUACACCUUCCUCCAUUUGGCCAAAAGGCACAUCUAGAAACUUGCAUAAACCUUUCUAUUCCUCCCGGAUGAAAAUUAAGGCAGAUAUUCUUGUCCUUUAAGACCAGCACUAUACGGUUUUCUAGUGGAUAUUGCUCAACAUCACAUGAUUCGGAUUUGAAACAGCAGGACGCAGAGGGUUUCCAAACCUGUUGCUGGCAAGUGAACACUUUCUACCACCCUUAUUGAAGCUCAAUAUAUACCUUUCUGAUUUUUCAUGCUAAGAUUAAAAACCAGAAUACUUGAGAUAGUAUAUUACUUUUAUUUUGACUUGGGCCGUAUGAGUCUCUUUUGAAGAAGUAAUGACCCUGUGCAAAGCAUUCCCAGUUUUCGGCUUUUCCAUAUUCAGCCCUUUCACUCUUAAAGCCACUUGCUCAGGUGUGGAUGCUCACUAAAGCCUGAAACCUAUUUCUUUCUUGAACAAUGUUGUAGCCCUUCAUUGGCCAACAGCUUCAUCUGGCCUCCUGAAUUUUAUCCAGCGAGCUGCUUCUUUUGUCUCACCGGUGGCAGGUGUUGUCCUUCUGGAUAUGCUACUCACACGUCCCAGAUGUGUGAUUUGAAUUUUGUAGUAAUUUUUGCUAACGACGCUUACUUUUAUAUUCGAACUGUAACUCUGAAGUAACAAACCAUAUGGUAUAUUAUUAUAUUUUUUCUAUUCAAGCUGAAGAGUAAUUGCAAUUACCCUCUGAAAAUAAAUUUCUCUUUGCUUUCCUGACUCAGACGCUUGAAAAAGCAAACAGGGUUCUUUCUUUUGAGAUAAAAAAAUUUGCUCAUACUUAUGUUCCCCAUGAUAACUAUUCUGAAAAAAUCUUCUUUAGUUUGAAAUUAUUUCUCUUGAUUUCAGGUUAGUUCUCGUCAGAAGGAAACUAGUAGCACCUCAGGGAUGCGUGAGACUGUUGAAACCAGUAUGCUUAUAGAACAUAGAGCGAAGGUGAAAUAAUGGUCCUCCCUAGUAUCUUAAAGCUUUGUGAAUCUUGUCCUCAAAAUUUCUUUAUUCUUCCUUAGUGAUUUUUGAAGGCCUUCUAAAAUUUGCUUUUUCCUCCUGAGUUCUGAUCUUUGUGAUGAUGAGACCUAGAAUGCCCACCUCGCUCAUUUAAGUACUGAAUUGUUACAGGAAGUUGUACCAAGACGCAUAAUUCAAAUGGAGGAAGCCAUAAAAGAUCACGAUUUUCCAUCUUUUUCUCGUCUAGCUUGUUCAGAUAGUAAUCAGUUUCAUGCAGUCUGCCUGGAUACUUCGCCCCCAAUAUUCUAUAUGAAUGACACAUCUCAUAGGUGAGCACUCUUUCCCAAUUCAGAUUUCAAUUACCUUGAGGGUGGCUUAUUGCUAAUCCAUCUUUUUUAAGUGGAAUUGUUUUGAAUUGUAAAUUUAAUUUUAUGAGGACAUUUAACUUUUCAGGAUAAUCAGCUGUAUUGAGAAAUGGAAUCGCUUUGAAGGAACACCACAGGUUGUUGAAUACUUUCCUAUGCAAGUUUUGGUUUAUAUUCAAACAUAUAAUGUGCUCACAAGAUGCUUAUAAAUUGCCAUCCUUAAUCAGUUUAAAAAAUGAAACAGAAAAAUAGAAGUGAUUAAUAUACCACAGCCAAAAUUGCUUAUAAAAUUGUCUGCAGAGGAAUAGUUUAUUUAAAUCUUUUUUGGUGUAUGAGAGUAUCCACAUUGACAUUCCCUUGUCUUCCUUCUUUGUGCCUGUUCCUGAUGCAUUUGGCUGCCAUAGUAGUUUUGACAACAUAAUCUACUAAUUAUUACUUCUUGCGGGUAACAGUUUCAACAAAUGAUAAUCGAACACAAAUAUAUAUUGCAAUAAGACCUUCCUAAUGCUAAAACUUAAACUGUUGAUGAUUUACUGAACAUUUUCAGAACACGGCUCUGAUGGGUACAAAGUUACUGCAAUAGAUAUUAAAUAGUUUGAGACUUUGAGGUAUCUUAUCCCCAGGAUUCAGAAUUCUCUACUGUAUGUUUUGGGUUAGUAACAAGUACUUUAUUGACCAGCAACUGUUCUGACUAAUUUUCUACAAUAAAAUAAUUUGCUUGUUAAAUUUAACGUGGAAUAAGCUUGUGGUUUAGAAAUAUGCAUUACAAAUUGUAUGGGUUUUUAAGGAAACAUAUGCAACUUCAGCAAGUUUGAGGGGGGUUAUAGUGUGUAAAUAGGACAAGCACAGGGUUUUAAAUUUCUACAUAUUAGCCGUAAACAGCUAAUUCCAUUGGUUCAAACAUUGGUCUUUUCUUUGAAACUUUCAUUUUUUAUAUGUUUUAUGAUAUUUGCUUAAUAUAAUGUCAGUAUGUAACCUUAACCAUGUGAUAAAACGGCCUUUUUUCCUUGUUAUGUUCACUUUGGAAGUGAUUGACCAUUAAACAUCGGUUUUUUUAUUUCUCCUCUUGAUAUAGUUUAUGCAUUACUAAUGCAAUUAGAGUGCAUGCUCAUUUUCACUAAUUAGAUGACGAGGCAUUUGGUUACCUUAAGAGAGUCAUAAUUACUCCCGUUGUUUACCCGCACUUGUUUGAACUUCUUCACUUUGACAUUGGGGGAGCACCAGACAAAAAUCACAUUGCGUGAGAAUCAACGGGGACCAAACCAUCGCAAUGCAUUAUUUUAAUUAAACAGUCGAAUUCCCAUGUCUAAACUAGUUUUGAGUCAAUUGUUCAACGCUCAGGGAAGGCCUUUGAAGGAGUGGUUUCCAGCCUGUCUUUCAUAAUAUUCAAACCAUUUCAUAGGUUGGCGUCGUGAUAUUUGCAGUUGCAGUUAUUUUUUGUUUUGUAUGAUCAAAAUAUGUUAAUAACAAGGAACAUAUUCAACAGGUGGCUUAUACUUUUGAUGCCGGGCCAAACGCAGUUCUGAUUGCGCAUAACAGAAAUGCUGCUAAACUUCUGCUUCAGAGGCUACUCUUUUAUUUCCCUCCCCAAUCUGAUACUGAUUUGAGCAGGUACUCCUUGCCGUCCCAUGUUGAUUUUUAUUGUUGGAAAUCAGUAAAUUUUAAUUCCCUGAAAUGUAUUUUCCCAUUAUGCCUCCUUUUCUCUAGUUAUGUUAUUGGGGACAAGUCCAUAUUAGAAGAUGCUGGGGUUCACAACAUGAAGGACAUUGAAGCUUUGGCUGCACCUCCAGAGGUUAAAGAUAAUACUCCGGCGCAGAAAUACAAGGGGGAUGUUAGUUACUUCAUCUGCACGAGGCCUGGGAAAGGUCCAGUAUUGCUUAAUGAUGAAACUAAAGCGCUUCUAAAUGCUGAAACUGGACUGCCAAAUUAAAGAAGUUGGAGUUUUGUGGUACGAUUAUUUUCGUAAGGCCAGUGUGCUGGAACUGUUGCAUUUACAUUAUCUUUGUCUAGAACGUAAUGCUGG